GACGAACCGUACGAACGUUAUUCGGAAUCACUGGGCUUAAAGGGUGCGUAGGCUGCGCAGCAAGUUGGGUGUGAAAUCCCUCGGCUUAACCGAGGAACUGCGCCCAAAACUGCUGUGCUCGAGGGAGAUAGAGGUGAGCGGAACUUAGGGUGGAGCGGUGAAAUGCGUUGAUAUCGCUUGGAACGCCGAAGGUGAAAACAGGCUGCUGGGGUUGUGCCGACGCUGAGACACGAAAGCCAGGGGAGCAAACGGG
rnacentral:rRNA from 1 species